GCAGAAAUAAUAUUCAUUAUGGAAAAGUAGUGUCAGCAAAUUCAGACUACGCAGCAGGAACACCCGGGCAGAAUCAUGUUGUUAUCCCAAGAUAGUUUACUGACGGUUACUUGUUGAAGUAUUACAUUUCGCAAGUCUGUAAGAGCCGCUGUUCUGCUGUAAUCCUGUAGGCUUAUUUUUGAAGACGAAACCAGACAAGCACCGAUCUGGAACGGGACUGUUGGCGCUCUUCUUUGUCCUGAACUGCACACAGCCAUGGAGGACUUCGUGUUAGUCGCACUGCUCAUUUACACGAAAGGUACCCAUAGUUUAUGUGUUCCUGUGAGAGUUCCGGAGAAGCUGAUGGCAUUGUAUGGUUCCUGUGCCGAGAUCUCCUGUACAUUUGGUCACCAGAAGGGAUAUAGAACCGAACGCGCUCGGUGGUUGAAAGGGGGUGGUGAUCCUCUUGGCCCACGAGUGUCGGUUAUCUACGACUCCAGUGAAUCUCAGAAUAUAUCCACGAAUCUCGCAAGCAGCAGAGUCUAUUUUACCGGUGACUUAACGCAGAAUAAGUGUUCAUUACGAAUAAAUAGGAUCAACAAACACGAUGAAACUACUUACAGCUUCAGACUGCGUAGCAGAAACCCCGAUGG